UAUCAACUUUCGAUGGUAGGAUAGAGGCCUACCAUGGUGGUAACGGGUAACGGGGUGUUAGGGCACGACACCGGAGAGGGAGCCUGAGAAACGGCUACCACAUCCAAGGAUGGCAGCAGGCGCGCAAAUUACCCAAUCCCGACACGGGGAGGUAGUGACAAUAAAUAACAAUACGGGGUUCUUUAGGAUCUCGUAAUUGGAAUGAGUACAAUUUAAAUCUCUUAACGAGGAACAAUUGGAGGGCAAGUCUGGUGCCAGCAGCCGCGGUAAUUCCAGCUCCAAUAGCGUAUAUUAAAGUUGUUGCAGUUAAAAAGCUCGUAGUUGAAUUUCGAGAUCGGCUUACUGGUCGUGCUUUUGUACGCACUGGUAUAAUCGGUUUCUCCUUUCUGACGAACUUUAAUGCCAUUAAUUUGGUGUUUUAGGGAAUCAGGACUGUUACUUUGAAAAAAUUAGAGUGUUUGAAGCAGGCUCACGCUUGAAUACAUUAGCAUGGAAUAACGGAAUAGGACGUUUGAUUCUAUUUUGUUGGUUUCUAGGAUCGACGUAAUGAUUAAUAGGGAUAGUUGGGGGUAUUAGUAUUCAAUUGUCAGAGGUGAAAUUCUUGGAUUUAUUGAAGACUAACUACUGCGAAAGCAUUUGCCAAGGAUGUUUUCAUUAAUCAAGAACGAAAGUUAGGGGAUCGAAGACAAUCAGAUACCGUCGUAGUCUUAACCAUAAACUAUGCCGACUAGGGAUCGGAUGAUGUUAAUUUUUUAAUGACUCAUUCGGCGCCUUACGGGAAACCAAAGUGUUUGGGUUCC
rnacentral:rRNA from 1 species